rnacentral:piRNA from 1 species
UAGACAGAGGUGAUGGCAUCAGGUACUGUGU